CAGUAGCCGCGGUAAUACGGAGGGUGCUAGCGUUGUUCGGAAUCACUGGGCGUAAAGGGCGCGUAGGCGGCCUGUUAAGUCGGAUGUGAAAGCCCGGGGCACAACCCCGGAACUGCAUCCGAGACUGGCAGGCUUGAGACCGGGAGAGGAGGGUGGAAUAUCCAGUGUAGAGGUGAAAUUCGUAGAUAUUGGAUGGAACACCGGUGGCGAAAGCGGCUCUCCGGCCCGGAUCUGACGCUGAGGCGCAAAAGCGUGGGGAGCAAACAGGAUUAGAUACCCCCGUAGUCCCUGUCUCUUAUAC
rnacentral:rRNA from 1 species